GUAAAUGGGAGCGGGAGGUGGCCCUUGGCUGGCGGGCUGGGGCUGCUGGAGUCCCCAGAUCCGAAGGGUGCAAGGGUGCAAGGGUGCAAGGGUGCAAGGGUGCAAGGGUGCAGAGCUGAGGCCGAUAGACACUGCCUAACAGGACCGAGGUGGAGGGAUCCCGGCCCCAGAGAGUGACAGAGGCCUUCAUGGGACCUCGCUGAGGGACCUGAGGACAUUCAACGCCCAGACAGACCAGGGGCGCACAGGCUGGGGUGUGGAGGGGACGCCUGACUGUAAAGAGGCGCAGGCAUCCCCUGUGACCUUGCAGGCACUAGAGCUGGUGGGAAGGGACAGCUCACCAGCUUAGGGGGAGCCCCACGCCGCAUGGGGGCGGGAGGGGGGCACAGGAGGCCAAGGCCAGGGAGGGACAAGCCUGGAAGAGAGCUGUCCAGACUCUUACCACACCCAGCCUAGGACAGCUCCCGCCCGCCCACAGCUGAGGGUGGGAGCCCCAAACUACCCGGUCCUUGGGAAUCCCAUAGGAGGACCCUGCUCAGGUUGGGCCCCUGGAGUCAUCAACCCUGCUGGCUGUGCUCUCCAGAUCCCGGGCAAGACCUGGUGUGCCUUGCAGGCCAGCAAGUGACUGGCUCACGUGCUUGAAUGCGUGGUCCCCAUCGGUGGUGGGCUGCUGAGGAAAAACUGGAGGUGUGGGCUUGUUGGAGGGGGUGUCCACACCCGGCCCAAUGUGGAAAUCUGUCCCCAUGAUGCAGGUAAGAUGCGGCUCCAGCACCCGGCCUGUGAGCUGCUGUGCCGCCCCCCCCCCCCCUGACAGUCAUGGAUUAAUCCUCUGAAACUGUAAGCCAGUCCCCGAUUCAACGCUUCAACGCUUCCUUUUUUUUUUUGCCGCCUUGGUUAAGAUGUCUUCUCACAGCGAUAGAACACGGUCCCACUCACCAUCAAAGAGUGUGGGAGCCGUUGGGUGUGUGAGCGCAUGCCCAGCUACCCGGUACCUUGAGCGGGCCCUGCGGCUGUGGAACCCAACAGCACUCCACAUGGAUACUCCGGAGUGAGACCCUGGCCGUGUGUGUGUGUGUGUGUGUGUGUGUGUGUGUGUGUGUGUGUGUGUGUGUGUGUGUGUGUGUGUGUGUGUGUGUGUGUGUGUGUGUGUCUGUGUGUGUGUGUGUGUGUGUGUGUGUGUGUGUGUGUGUGUGUGUGAGCAGUCCAGAAUAAAGGGUGGACCGUGUCACGGGGUCACAGGCUUGACCAGAAGCAAGUGAGCCGUGUCUCAAGACCCACAGGCUGACAAGCUUUCCAGGGAAUACCUUCUGGGAUUCCAAAGCUUUGCCACCUCCCGCGCUGCCUCGCCUAACUGCCCUCUCUGUCCUCAGGUGGCUUUACCACUGGGACUUCUUCCUUCACCAGGCAAGCCAAAGGUCACAGUCUCAGAGAAAAUGGCUAUUUCUUCCCCCACCUAUCCCUCCUCCCAGUGAAACAGCUUGUGUCUUUGCCUCAGCCUCCAACGGCUCUUUCCUUCCCUGUCUGAAACAACCCG
rnacentral:lncRNA from 1 species